rnacentral:lncRNA from 1 species
GGAAGGCAGUAAGCAACUGUUCUCCUGCCUUGAGUUCCUGCCUCAGCUACCCUGGGAUAGACUGAAACCUGCUGUCACAAGAAAGCUGCCAUGGUUCAUUAAGGAGUUCCAGAAGUGGACAGAAGCAUUCUUGAUCAUUUCUUAUAAUAGACAUUUUUUGAAAACCAAAGAGGUCUGGAGUAUCCCAGGUGGACCAAGAAGCUCUGGAGAGGAAAGCAGACUUCAUUCAACACCUGUGGGCUGUUAGGCUCUGGGAUGCUUCUGAUGAGAGGAUAGACAAACCUCCCUGAAUAGUACCUACCACUCAGGACUGCAGGCAACUGAGCAGAGAUAGAAUCUUCCAUCCCCGAAGCCCUGCUUUCCAGCCUACAAAAGCCCGCGCAUGUGCAGAUUCCUCUUCCACAGACAGACUUCUCCCCUUUAGUUCUGAUGAAAAGAAAAUUCUGCUUCUGGAGAUGCCGGCCUUUCUGUUUUCACCUCAACUUCCAUCAGUCCAACAGACAGUGCCUUCAGGUGGCGGCCCAGAUCAAGGGAUGGAAGAUUUCCCACCAUUUGCCGGCCCAUUUACUAGCCAGCAACAUUGUAGCUGCUAAUGCUUCCUUCAUUGACAUCAGAGUCAGCAUUUCCAGGUCUCUAUCACCGGCUAGGGACCAGAGACUCUUUUGGAACUCUCCUAUGCAGAGGCUCGGGGAGACCAGAAGAGGGCAUGGGAUCUUUUGGUGCUGGGGCUUCAGGUAACUGAGCUGCCCAACAUGGGUGCUGGGACUGAGUCCUUUGGAGGAUAAUCUAGCAACUGUAACAGCUAAGCUGUCGUCAGGACUCAAGAUGCAUAUUUCUAUUAAUGUAGUUUACAGAACAGAUGUCACCAACAAAGAGAGUUUAUCCCAGGGCAUCCGAAUGAACAUUGGCUUCUGAUGCCUGGGACUCCUCACAUCACAGUAGACUCAGAAGCAGAGCUGAGCGCUCAUCCCUAAUGAGCUCUUACCAGCCCACUUCCUCCAGUUAGGUUCUACAUCCCCAAACUCCUUUGUACCCACAGCUCCUUAAAACAGUGCUAAAAGACAGGUCCAAGAUUCAAACACAUCACUCUUGGAUGGCUAGUGUGUCUACAGUCAUCCGAGAAAAGGAAACGCCAAUUGAGAAAGUGGCUCAUCAGUGUGGCCUGUGGGUAAAAGCUUUCAGGGCAUUUUCUUGUUCGAUGAUUGCUGUAUUUGAGUUCAGUUCACUGUGAACAUGGCCAUUCCUGGGGUCAUGAUCCUGGGUAUAUAAGAAAGCAAACUGGGCAAGCCAGGAGGAACUGGCCAAUAAGCAAUGUCUGCCUCAGUUCCUGCCUUGAGACCCUUUCCUGAUGUUCCUCAAUUAUGGACCUGAAAGUUGUAAGAUGAUAUAAAUCCUUUUCUUCCCAAGUUGCUUUUGGUCAUAUUCUUUAUUGUUGAAACAGACCCCUACUAGGAAGAGCCUCUAGGGGACAUUCCCUAUUGAAACCAUAAUGUUCUGAUCCUGUUCCCCAGAGGGAUAUGACCAUCUCAUUAUGAAUAAUAUACUUAGUGCAAAUUCUCAUAGUCUUGCAGUUUCCACACUGUCAAAGACCAAAUUUAAAUUUCUCUUUUAAGACUCAAGGCAAUCUCUUAACUAUGAGCCCAUGUACGCUCAAAACACAAGUUACUUAUUUUCAACAUAUGAAGGCAUAGAGUUAACAUACCUAUUCCAAAGAGGAGGAAAGACUGGAAUAAAGCAAGUUCAGGAUCCAGAAGAGCAGACACAAAAUCCUGAAGGGCAGCUGCCCAGUGGCUGAAGCUCUUGAUGACAACACAAGGGAUCCAAGGGUCUCGGCCAACUGCAGCCUAUGUGGCGGACUCAGCACAUGCAACUUUUCAUUAUCCUUGGGUUUCUACUGCAACUCAGGCUUCACCUCACUGCUCCACACAGAGCCCACUCCUGAGCUCCGCAUGGGGUACCUGACUGGCUUCUUUGGCUUCCUGGAACCUCGAAGCAAGCCUCACUUUUAUACCUUGCCACCUUCUGCUGCCAGGUCUUGAUGUAGCCUCUCGACACCCCUGUCGCGGCCUCUGUGCACCUUCAAGGUCGAGCUUGGGACAAUGCUUGUCUUUUGCUCUUCUUCAAGCAAGAGCGUUGGGAGCUUGUUUUGUUUCCCCAGUUCCUUUCCAUGUAAGCCUGUGUUUUUGCACCCGAGAGCUUUUGAUAGUUUGACUGCUGCCUUCCAGGGUCUUUUCCUGGUGUCCUGUUGCACAGUAUGUGGGGUCCUGAAGAGAUCAGGGCACUGAUCUCCUCAACAAUCACAGCUAUGCAUUCUUACAGCCAUUUCUGAAACCCAAUUUAAGCUCCUUUUCUCACUGAACUUCAUGCUUCUGAAACAUAUUCUACUCCUCCUCACUGGAAUUCUGGCUGAUAGCAAUGACCAGUAGCCAUGGCACAGACGGACUGUUAUGGCCUUCAAAAUUCCUCUGCCAAAGAGUCUAGUCCCUGCCUUUUGAAUUCAGCCCCAGGCAAAUUAUCAGGGCAGGCAAAUGUGGCAAGGUUAUUUGCCAGCAUGUCAGAUGAACGGCCUUUAGCCCAGUCCCCAGAAGAGUCCAGUUAAUUUAUGGAAUAGUUUGUAUUUGAGGAGUUUUGAAGAAUUGGUGCAAGUUUCUCAGAAAAGGUGAUGUCAGAGCCAGGCUUGAUCAUGUGAACUGGCUCUAACAGAAUUCCCUGGACUGACAUAAAUUAAUGUCUCAUAGUUCCGGUUCCAACUCCGAGAUCACAGCAUGGAAAGAGCUGGCAUCUGCUGCCGGCCUGAUUCACAGGUGGUUGUAUUCUGUUUAGUUCCUGUCUAAUAAAACACUAGGAAGU